UGGGGAAUAUUGCACAAUGGAGGGAACUCUGAUGCAGCGACGCCGCGUGAGUGAUGAAGGAAUUCGUUUCGUAAAACUCUGUUCUAUGGGAAGAAAAGGACUGUACCAUAGGAGAAAGCUCCGGCUAAAUACGUGCCAGCAGCCGCGGUAAUACGUAUGGAGCGAGCGUUGUCCGGAAUUAUUGGGCGUAAAGGGUGCGCAGGCGGCUUUACAAGUUGGAUGUGAAAUAUUGUGGCUCAACCACAAACGUGCAUCCAAAACUGCGAAGCUUGAGUUAAGGAGAGGUGAGUGGAAUUCCCGGUGUAGCGGUGGAAUGCGUAGAUAUCAGGAGGAAUACCGGUGGCGAAGGCGACUUACUGGACUUAAACUGACGCUCAGGCGCGAAAGCGUGGGGAGCAAACAGG
rnacentral:rRNA from 1 species